GGGCCCGCACAAGCAGCGGAGCAUGUGGUUUAAUUCGAAGCAACGCGAAGAACCUUACCAAGGCUUGACAUCCUACUAAAACUCUAGAGAUAGAGUGUUCUGCUUGCAGAGAGUAGUGACAGGUGGUGCAUGGUUGUCGUCAGCUCGUGUCGUGAGAUGUUGGGUUAAGUCCCGCAACGAGCGCAACCCUUGUCCUUAGUUACCAGCGGAUAAUGCCGGGGACUCUAGGGAGACUGCCGGGGAUAACUCGGAGGAAGGUGGGGACGACGUCAAAUCAUCAUGCCCCUUAUGUCUUGGGCUACACACGUGCUACAAUGGCCGAAACAAAGAGAAGCGAAAUGGUAACAUGGAGCGGAACUCAAAAAUACGGUCUCAGUUCGGAUUGAGGGCUGCAACCCGCCCUCCAUGAAGUUGGAGUUGCUAGUAAUCGCGAAUCAUCAUGUCG
rnacentral:rRNA from 1 species